GAUGAACGCUGGCGGCGUGCUUAACACAUGCAAGUCGAACGGAAAGGCCACAGCUUGCUGUGGUACUCGAGUGGCGAACGGGUGAGUAACACGUGGGUGAUCUGCCCUGUACUUCGGGAUAAGCUUGGGAAACUGGGUCUAAUACCGGAUAGGAAUCACAUGUGGGUGUGUGGUUGGAAAGCUUUUGCGGUAUGGGAUGAGCUCGCGGCCUAUCAGCUUGUUGGUGGGGUAAUGGCCUACCAAGGCGUCGACGGGUAGCCGGCCUGAGAGGGUGUACGGCCACAUUGGGACUGAGAUACGGCCCAGACUCCUACGGGAGGCAGCAGUGGGGAAUAUUGCACAAUGGGCGCAAGCCUGAUGCGGCGACGCCGCGUGGGGGAUGACGGCCUUCGGGUUGUAAACUCCUUUCGUCAGGGACGAAGCGAAAGUGACGGUACCUGGAUAAGAAGCACCGGCUAACUACGUG
rnacentral:rRNA from 1 species